CUCACGCCCACUUGCCCCCACGUACAGAGGAAGGGGCGGGAGCGAGCAAUUGAAGCAUCCUCACGCUGCUUCAGCAGUGCAUGUCUGGGGGGACAGCCUGGCUUGGAGGGCUGACGUGGAUUCCGCCGGAACGGUGUUCUACCAGGCACUAGUGAGCAGCAAUGCUCCCUAGCUCCCGGUAACAUGGCCAGCAGCACACUCGAAAUAAAAGAGGGGCGGCAAACUUGAACAUAAAGUCAGGCCCUGCUCUUAUCACAGCUCUAAAUGCCUUCAAGAUGGUGGUGGAAUGUGGGUGGGCACAG